rnacentral:rRNA from 1 species
CCUACGGGAGGCAGCAGUGGGGAAUAUUGCACAAUGGGGGAAACCCUGAUGCAGCGACGCCGCGUGAGCGAAGAAGUAUUUCGGUAUGUAAAGCUCUAUCAGCAGGGAAGAAAAUGACGGUACCUGAGUAAGAAGCUCCGGCUAAAUACGUGCCAGCAGCCGCGGUAAUACGUAUGGAGCAAGCGUUAUCCGGAUUUACUGGGCGUAAAGGGAGCGUAGGCGGCCUGCCAAGUCUGAUGUGAAAUACCGGGGCUCAACCCCGGGGCUGCAUUGGAAACUGGCAGGCUGGAGUGACGGAGAGGCAGGCGGAAUUCCUAGUGUAGCGGUGAAAUGCAUAGAUAUAACGCAGAACUCCGAUGGCGAAGGCAGCAUACCGGCGCUAAACUGACGCUCAUGCACGAAAGUGUGGGUAUCGAACAGGAUUAGAUACCCUGGUAGUC